ensembl:lncRNA
UGAGAUCCCUUUGUUACCUCACCAAGGGAGCGAAAUCUGACAAGCUCGUUUUCUCAGAUGCUUGCAGAAAAAAGGCUUACCAAAAUAAAGUUACUGGGUUAACCUAUUUCACGUUUCCAUGGUUGGUAGAUGCACCGAAGACCUGAUUAUAGCACUUAAAACCUGGAAAAGUCCGAUUUUCAUGAUAUGUCACCUUUAAGUAUAUCAGUUUAGUAUGCUAAAAGUUGCAGGGUAUUUUUAUUAAGCAUAUUAUUAAGCAUUUUUAUUAAGGUAUUAAGGUAGAAUUUUAUUAAAAAUAUAAUGCAUUUGCAGUAUACUUGGCAUUAAAUAAAUGUAUUUAUGGCAUGCAUAAUACAGCGGUCAUUUUCAUGGAUCCAUGUAAAUGGGGAUUCUUUUGACAAAUUCUGUGAAACUUCUCAAAAACACAAAGGAAAAACUUUUCAGUUUUUAGUACAAUUGUUGCAAUGUAUAAAUACCCUACAGACAUGGAAUAAAAUCCACAAAACACUAAUUUUCUUUGUUAAAAUAUAAGUGUAUAUAAGGCUAGGCUUGGUGUUUUCAUUCAUUUUUGGUAGGAAUUAAAUGAGUUUCUGCCUUGAUCUGAAUGCCCAGAGAAUGUUUUCCGUAUGUUAAAAGCUUUUGCUUUGCUCUCUCCUUGCUGAGGCGCCGGUGUAUCUGAAGAGAACGCAGGGUCUCGCCAGGUCUCCCCAUACUUUAGGGCCCGUUGCAAAGCGACGUGCAGCCCAUGGCUAUGUCUGCAUUGAGUAAACUGUCAGUCCCCUUUUCAAAAGCUGCCCUGUUACCACGGCAACAGGCUCAAUGUCUCCGUCACUGCCAUUCAGGAUUUCACAGCCUCUGAAAACGGCGGAAGCAGGUCCCACACCAACGUCAUCUCUCAUCUUCCAGCCUUUAACACCAGACAGGUUGUGUUGUGCUGCGAGGGCUCGUGGGCCAGUGUUUCAGAUAAAGCUGCUUCGUUUCCUCUGCUCUUGGCUUCCUGUCACCAUGGAGAUGCCUCCCUGCCACAAUGCCUCUGUCUCAUUACGGAUUCUUCCCAAAGGUCCUGGAAGUGAUGUUUGGUCUUGCCUGACAAUGUGAGUGUGUGAUAGAGAACAAGAUAGAGGGCUAAACUAAGCCAAGGAGAGAGUAUUCAAUCUAUUCUGGUCUAUCGAGCAGUGCUGGUACUCAGCAUUAGCUAAAUCAAUUAUUUCUCCAACAUGCACAAGUUGCUGACAGCGUUGUUUUAUAAGUUCUCU